UCUACCAUCUAUUUGAUUUAUGUUAUUCCCAAAACAUCCACUAGAUGUCAGAGUGUCAAUCAACAGCACUUGUCACAAUCCUUCUUCUAACAUGAUGUCAGAAACAAACAUAGACAGUAAAAGAAAAGAAAUCAACCCUUUCCAUGUCCAUGCUAGCCCUUCUUGGUGAAAUUUUGCAAGAUGGAUUUCAACAGUACAAGAACUUCAGGCCCAUGUACCAGAAAACCCCCAAGGACUCUAAUGCUGAUCUCAGUUAUCUUGAUGACCUCAAACCUGUCUUGGAGUAACCCCAGCCCUGAACAUUUUUAAUUUCUCCAUCAUCUAUCACACCUGAUUCAACUCAGAUUCACAAUUCAGACCCUCCCACCUCUAAUAAACAUGGAGAUGUUAGUCCCGUCCGAGAAUUGGUACAUGAAAAUUGCAGAUGUCAGGUGGUAAGAAUCGAAACUCAAACGUAG